CUACGGGUGGCUCCAGUGAGGAAUAUUGGACAAUGGGGGCAACCCUGAUCCAGCGACGCCGCGUGAGUGAUGAAGGCCCUUGGGUCGUAAAGCUCUGUCAGAAGGGAAGAAAUGCUGCGUAGCUAAUAUCUGCGCAGUUUGACGGUACCUUCAAAGGAAGCACCGGCUAACUCCGUGCCAGCAGCCGCGGUAAUACGGAGGGUGCAAGCGUUAAUCGGAAUUACUGGGCGUAAAGGGCGCGUAGGCGGCCUGUCAAGUCAGAUGUGAAAGUCCACGGCUCAACCGUGGAAGUGCAUCUGAAACUGGCAGGCUUGAGUAUCGGAGAGGAAAGUGGAAUUCCCGGUGUAGAGGUGAAAUUCGUAGAUAUCGGGAGGAAUACCGGUGGCGAAGGCGACUUUCUGGACGAAUACUGACGCUGAGGCGCGAAAGCGUGGGGAGCAAACAGGAUUAGAUACCCCGGUAGUC
rnacentral:rRNA from 1 species